rnacentral:lncRNA from 1 species
CUCUCUCACGACAACAGACGCAUCAUCGACGCUGGCGAACUGCCGCCGGUCGACCACCCAACACCAACGUCUCCCAUCUGUCCCUUAUCUCUCACUUCCUCUCUUGCUCGAAGGAGGCAUCCAUGGCUGCCGUCGCUAAGCCAGAGAACCACCACCCUUCCUUCGAUCUCCCCUCUCUCCCCUCGUUCCUUUCUCCGGUGAAAUGGCCAGCAGCCUUCAAAACCUCGACGACGACGCCACCCUCGCCCUCGCCGGCGAACAACCAGCCAUGCAAAGACAAUCACCGACCAGUCCGCCUCCCCAACGAACCAGCCGCUGCUCCAACGACCAGCCACCCUACGCUUCGAUCGCCGCCCCACCACCUGCCGGUGAAAUCCGCCACCCUUCACCCCUUUUCUUGAGGCCGGCGAGCCAACCAUGACGACUCCCUUCUCCCUCGUAGCCCUCCCAGUCAGCUACUAUCGCGGUUUAAUACUAUGGAAUCCAUCCCAAGUUUGUGGUUCUGUUUAAAUGUUCCUCUUCUACUUUUUCUUCAUUUCUUUCUCCUGAUCGAUUUUAUGGAAUCUAACCUGGUUAUAAAUUAUUGAGCUGAAUCCUUCUAAGUAUCAUGUGUGACUUAUGCCUUCUAGUUAACGGAAAAUUCUUAAUUUUCAUAAACAGUUUUGAAAUUCACGUUCUACUUUAAAUUACACGCUACUCAAUUCGAAUUUGUCUGUCUUUCAUCUCACCGAAUUUAAAUUGUGGUGGUCAUUCUUAUGUGUGUUUGAACGUAUCAAAUUAGUUUGCUCCAUUUUGGGAAAGCUACGAGAAAUUAGAUUUUUUUUUCCAUACUAAUUAACUUAAAUUAUAGGAAAUUGACUUGCUGACAAAUCUUUUUGUUUAUUUGUUUGCUCUCUCUUUGUUGCAAUAUUCUGAUUUUAUUUCCAUAUUACUUCACCUAACCGGUUAAUUUUCUUAUUUAAUUAAUUUUUCGCAUUCCUAAACUCCUUUAAUGAUGACACAUUAUCACUUUUGUGACUGUUUGAGUUGUUUUUGUUUUGCUGCCUUUUGUCAUUGGAUCAUGUUUUAUUCGAUCAAUGCGAGAAUCCGUGCACCGUACAAUUUGUUUGUGUUUGUGUAUUUUGUGAUGUUCGAGCAGGUGCUUUGGUCGAGUUGUGCUAGAAUGUGCCGCCUUCAGGAUAUGUCGCCUUAAUUUACUUUUUAUUUUUUGGUCGAGUUGUGCUAGAAUGUUGCCGCCUUCAGGAUAUCUCGCCUUAAUUUACUUUUUAUUUCUCUUUUAUUACCAUUUAAAUUCAUACUAAUGUAUUGUAUAAACAUCUGUGUAAUAAUUAAUUAUGGGGACUACUCGGGAGUGGGGUUUAUGUGCUUUACAUACCAUGUGAAUCUCUUAGGCAAACAAAUUUAGGAUUCGUUACUUGACUUGUUUGUCAUUUAGACAAAUCUAAUUUAGGAUUUACUAAUUUACGACUUAUUAGUUGAUCCAUUUAGAAAUCAUGCUUUUAAGAGUUUAAUUAAUAUCCGUCUUGUUAAAUCACAUUUGAAUAUGAGAACUUAAUUUACAACUUGUUUAUUGACUCUUGCAUGUUUAACAAUUGUGGACAUAUUAUAAACGACAUUCUUAGCAUUCUAAAUCACUCUUUCAACAAUUAUACUCUCAGCAUUUAAAAUAACAUUUUUGGCAUUUUAAAUAAUAUUUUCAACACCUUAAAUAAUAUUUUCUGCCUAUUAAAAUUAAUUUUCAGCCCGUUAAUUUAUUUUCAACAUUUUAAAAUGAUUUUUGGCACAUUAUAAUUAAUUUUCAGCAUUCCUAUUUGUCUUUCUGUAUGUUUCAUUAAUUUCUGCUUAAUAAAAUAAUUUUUAGCAUCUACGUAUUUAAAAAAAUGACUCUUUAUUUCUCUAUUAAAGUCAUGGUGUGAUUUUUGGACUUUCACAAUUUAAACAAGACUUGACAUUUUACUCUUUGUACUAUCUCUUGACCUAUACUUAAC